rnacentral:rRNA from 1 species
GAUGAACGCUGGCGGCGUGCCUAAUACAUGCAAGUCGAGCGAACGGACGAGAAGCUUGCUUCUCUGAUGUUAGCGGCGGACGGGUGAGUAACACGUGGAUAACCUACCUAUAAGACUGGGAUAACUUCGGGAAACCGGAGCUAAUACCGGAUAAUAUUUUGAACCGCAUGGUUCAAAAGUGAAAGACGGUCUUGCUGUCUCUUAUAGAUGGAUCCGCGCUGCAUUAGCUAGUUGGUAAGGUAACGGCUUACCAAGGCAACGAUGCAUAGCCGACCUGAGAGGGUGAUCGGCCACACUGGAACUGGGACGCGGUCCAGACUCCUACGGGAGGCAGCAGUAGGGAAUCUUCCGCAAUGGGCGAAAGCCUGACGGAGCAACGCCGCGUGAGUGAUGAAGGUCUUCGGAGCGUAAAACUCUGUUAUUAGGGAAGAACAGAUGUGUAAGUAACUGUGCACAUCUUGACGGUACCUAAUAAGAAAGCCACGGCUAACUACGUG